ACUCCUACGGGAGGCAGCAGUGGGGAAUAUUGCACAAUGGGGGAAGCCCUGAUGCAGCCAUGCCGCGUGUGUGAAGAAGGCCCUCGGGUUGUAAAGCACUUUCAGUAGGGAGGAAGGUAGUGUAGUUAACACCUGCACUAUUUGACGUUACCUACAGAAGAAGCACCGGCUAACUCCGUGCCAGCAGCCGCGGUAAUACGGAGGGUGCGAGCGUUAAUCGGAAUUACUGGGCGUAAAGCGCAUGCAGGCGGCCUGUUAAGUCAGAUGUGAAAGCCCGGGGGCUUAACCUCGGAAUUGCAUUUGAAACUGGCAGGCUAGAGUCUUGUAGAGGGGGUAGAAUUUCAGGUGUAGCGGUGAAAUGCGUAGAGAUCUGAAGGAAUACCAGUGGCGAAGGCGGCCCCCUGGACAAAGACUGACGCUCAGAUGCGAAAGCGU
rnacentral:rRNA from 1 species